UGGGGAAUCUUGCACAAUGGGGGAAACCCUGAUGCAGCGACGCCGCGUGAACGAUGAAGCCCUUCGGGGUGUAAAGUUCUUUCGACAGGAACGAUAAUGACGGUACCUGGAGAAGAAGCUGCGGCUAACUACGUGCCAGCAGCCGCGGUAAUACGUAGGCAGCGAGCGUUGUUCGGAGUUACUGGGCGUAAAGAGUGCGUAGGCGGCGAGCCAAGUUUGGUGUGAAAUCUCCCGGCUUAACCGGGAGGGUGCGCCGAAAACUGGUUGGCUGGAGUAUGGGAGAGGAAAGCGGAAUUCCUGGUGUAGCGGUGAAAUGCGUAGAUAUCUGGAGGAACACCUGCGGUGUAGACAGCUUUCUGGACCAAAACUGACGCUGAGGCACGAAAGCGUGGGUAGCAAACA
rnacentral:rRNA from 1 species